AUGUUGACUGAUGUCUGGAGCUCAGGAGACAGAAGACGACGUGGAUGGGCGCCUCGCGAAGAUGGUGGCGUGCGCGGCGUGUGGUGCCCGUGGUCUGGCCAAGUCUCAGCGCAGCGCACCAGCCGGCAUCUCGCCGUCCGGGAGCCCACACCCACCGGGUCCCUGACCCCGCGCCCCCCGCGCGCCCCCCGCGCCCGGUGCCCGGCAUGCCUCGCGCCCGUUACAGGCAACACGCUCCGGAAGGGUGGUCCGCGCCGUGGAGGAGGUGCCCGGAGCAGUACCCAAGCUGACUCGGGUUGCAGUGAUGAUGAGGCAGCCAGUGAGGCCCGCAGCACCGCCAGUGAAUGCCCCAGGCUUCUCAGCACCACUGCGGAGGACAGCCUUGUGGGGGAUGUCGUGGAUGAGCAGGGCCAGCAGGAAGACCUUGAGGAAAAGCUGAAGGAGUAUGUGGACUGCCUCACAGACAAGAGUCCCAAGACCCGGCAGGGUGCUCUCAAGAGCCUGCGCCUGGCCCUGGCGUCGCGCCUACUCCUCGACUUCUUGCUGGAGCGCCGCCUCACACUAGCUGAUGCCCUGGAAAAGUGCCUCAGGAAAGGGAAGGGAGAGGAACAAGCCCUGGCUGCUGCUGUGCGAGGCCUGCUCUGCGUGCAGCUGGGCCCUGAACCCAAGGGUGAGGAGCUGUUCCACAGCCUGCAGCCUCUGCUGGUCUCUAUGCUCAGUGACAGCACAGCUAGCCCUGCUGCCAGGCUCCACUGUGCUUCUGCUCUUGGCCUGGGCUGCUACGUGGCUGCUGCCGACAUCCAGGACCUAGUCUCUUGCCUUGCCUGCUUAGAAAGUGUUUUCAGCCGGUUCUAUGGCUUGGGUAGCUCCACGACUCCUGUGGUUCCUGCCAGCCUGCACGGCCUGCUCUGUGCUGCCCUGCAGACCUGGGCAUUGCUGCUCACCAUCUUCCCCAGCACCCAAAUCAGCCACAUCCUUGACAGGCAGCUGCCCCGGCUGCCCCAGCUCUUGUCCAGUUAAAGUGUGAACCUGUGGAUCGCUGCCGGUGAAACCAUUGCACUGCUCUUUGAGCUUGCCCGGGACCUUGAGGAGGUGUUUGUUUACGAGGACAUGGAGGCCCUCUGCAGUGUCCUGCGCACUCUGGCCACUGACAGUAACAAGUACCGUGCCAAGGCCGAUCGCCAGAGCCAGGGCUCUACUUUCCGCGCCGUGCUGCACUCGGUGGAGGGCGGUGAACGUGAAGAAGAGAUAGUGCGCUUCGGCUUUGAGGUGCUCUACAGGGACAGCUGGGCUGGGCACCGGAUCUACACUGCCUUCAAGGAAGUGCUGGGUUCAGCUAUGCACCACCACCUCCGGAGCAAUGAGCUACUCCGUGACAUCUUUGGCCUGGGCCCUGUGCUGGUGCUGGAUGCCACUGCCCUGAAGGCCUGCAAGGUUCCACGCUUCGAGAAGCACCUGUACAAUACUGCCACCUUCAAAGCCCGGACCAAGGCUCGAAGCCGUGUGCGGAGCAAGCGGGCAGACAUCCUGUGAAGCAGGACCUGCUGAAGAGGAGACUUUCUAUGCCCUUGGUCCGUAUUUUUAACAGAAGACAGUGCAACAACUGGUUUCCACCAGUAUUUGUCACUUUAUUUUUUUAAUGACAAAACCAAAAACAGACAUGGGGUGGGUAGCUGGGGGCCCGGACACUUGGGAUCCUGGCCCCUUUGUCCCUGCACUCAGCCCUGUGGCCUCUUCCUGCCCUGUCUCAGGUCAGGCUAAAUAUGUGCCUGUCCCAGGGCUGUGGGGCAGGCACUAGGGGGCCUUUCCCUUCCUUUCCUUUCCUUUCUCAGGCCUUGCUCCCCCAGGUUGACCCACUCUUAGGGGAGUAGUGGCGUCUGGACAAAUGCCACCACAGCAAGUGGAGAGGCAAAGCUACCUGGAAUGGAUUUGUGUGCUGAUUUUUAAGGAUUAUUAGAGAUAAUUAAACAGAAUGGUCAGGCUUC